UACGAAGGGGGCUAGCGUUGUUCGGAAUUACUGGGCGUAAAGCGCGCGCAGGCGGCUUCUCAAGUCAGGGGUGAAAGCCCAGAGCUCAACUCUGGAACUGCCCUUGAAACUGUGGAGCUUGAGUACGGUAGAGGUGAGUGGAAUUCCCAGUGUAGAGGUGAAAUUCGUAGAUAUUGGGAAGAACACCGGUGGCGAAGGCGGCUCACUGGACCGUUACUGACGCUCAGGCGCGACAGCGUGGGGAUCAAACAGGA
rnacentral:rRNA from 1 species